rnacentral:tRNA from 1 species
UGUAAAGGGAUGGGAAUCGAACCCACGACCUUCCGCUUACCGGGCAGAUGCCAUGACCACUAGGCUACCCUGGAC